GACGAACGCUGGCGGCGUGCUUAACACAUGCAAGUCGAACGGAAAGGCCCUGCUUUUGUGGGGUGCUCGAGUGGCGAACGGGUGAGUAACACGUGAGUAACCUGCCCUUGACUUUGGGAUAACUUCAGGAAACUGGGGCUAAUACCGGAUAGGAGCUCCUGCUGCAUGGUGGGGGUUGGAAAGUUUCGGCGGUAGGGGAUGGACUCGCGGCUUAUCAGCUUGUUGGUGGGGGAGUGGCUUACCAAGGCUUUGACGGGUAGCCGGCCUGAGAGGGUGACCGGCCACAUGGGGACUGAGAUACGGCCCAGACUCCUACGGGAGGCAGCGGUGGGGAAUAUUGCACAAUGGGCGGGAGCCUGAUGCAGCGACGCCGCGUGCGGGAUGACGGCUUUCGGGUUGUAAACCGCUUUCGCCUGUGACGAAGCGUGAGUGACGGUAAUGGGUAAAGAAGCACCGGCUAACUACGUG
rnacentral:rRNA from 1 species